rnacentral:rRNA from 1 species
GUAACGGCGAGUGAAGCGGCAACAGCUCAGAUUUGGAAUCUGGCCCCCAGGGCCCGAGUUGUAAUCUGGAGAGGAUGCUUCUGGCGCGGCGCCUUCCGAGUUCCCUGGAACGGGACGCCGGAGAGGGUGAGAGCCCCGUACGGUUGGACGCCUAGCCUUUGUGAAGCUCCUUCGACGAGUCGAGUAGUUUGGGAAUGCUGCUCAAAAUGGGAGGUAAAUUUCUUCUAAAGCUAAAUACCGGCCAGAGACCGAUAGCGCACAAGUAGAGUGAUCGAAAGAUGAAAAGCACUUUGAAAAGAGGGUCAAACAGUACGUGAAAUUGUUGAAAGGGAAGCGCCCGUGGCCAGACUUGUGCCCCGCGGACCACCCGGCGCCCUCAGCGCCGGUGCACUCCGCGGGGCGCAGGCCAGCAUCGGUUUUCCUAGGGGGAUAAAGGCGGCGGGAACGUGGCUCCUCCGGGAGUGUUAUAGCCCGCCGUGCCAUGCCCCUGGGGGGACCGAGGACCGCGCUUCGGCAAGGAUGCUGGCGUAAUGGCCACCGGCGACCCGUCUUGAAACACGGACCAAGGAGUCAAGCAUUGGGGCGAGUGUCUGGGUGCCAAACCCGCACGCGAAAUGAAAGUGAACGCAGGUGAGAGCUUCGGCGCAUCAUCGACCGAUCCUGAUGUUCUCGGAUGGAUUUGAGUAAGAGCCUUACCGCUUGGACCCGAAAGAUGGUGAACUAUGCCUGUAUAGGGUGAAGCCAGAGGAAACUCUGGUGGAGGCUCGCAGCGGUUCUGACGUGCAAAUCGAUCGUCAAAUAUGGGCAUGGGGGNCGAAAGACUAAUCG